CUAACUUGCCAAAUCGAUCACAUCUUCAAUCGUGUGGCUUUUGUUAAAGUCGUUAACAUUGACCAGUUUGUAUCUAACAAGACUGGCGCUGUUCUAGGUGCCUUAGAUGUGUUUCCUCAUUUAAUGGGCACAGCGCCCCAGUGAGGCUGCUGGCAGGAAGUGCCCAGAUUGCUGCAGAUAAUUAACUGUUUAUCAAGUCUUGGCUGACCUUUAGUGAGUGGCCAUUUGUCAAAGGUGGCAUAAAGAGAGCUGUUAAAUCCAUUACAUGCUUAUGAACAGGCUUGGCGCUCCUCCAGCUGCAAUGCCAGUGUGCCCAGG